UAGGAGCGCUUGGAGACUAGCUAUUAAUGUGCCUGAACCUUGAACUUAUUUCUUUCGGGUUUCAUCUCUAUCCUACCCCAACUUGCUUGGGAAAAAAGACUAUGUUGUUGUUGUUGUUGUUGUUUGUUAUCAGUUCAACAAAGGGUAUGUAUGACAUCUCUAGUGAACACCUACCAAUUUCUUCCUUAAAAUGUCCUUGUUCCACACAACCUACUGGUACAACUGGUACAUAGACCAUAUCAAAUUAAACUAAAGUAAAGCCAGAUUCAAACUGAUCUGAACCAGAGAUCAGCAGCAUACUGGACCUAGUCAAGGACAGGCUUAAUUUAACCAGGCUUGUUUUACCCGAGCCAGGUGAUGCCUGAACCCAUAUCCACUUUAAUGUUUAAGAACGCUAAGGACAGCCAAAUGUACCUUAGUUUUGCCCAGAAGCUAUACAAGCUAGUAACAAAUGCUUGUCUACACCUGCCCUCCAGAUGUCCAAAUGGUUUGGCUCCUCCCAUGUAAUAUUGUUCACACACCACUCGUGCCUCUCCACGGUCUUAGAAAUAUGUUUUUAGUACAUUAAAAAGAACAUAUGACAUCUUCAAUGCUUCUACUAUGCUUCCAAGAUCAUGCUUAAUCAAAAUAUGAAGUAUUAGCCCAAAAACUGUUUGUGAUGAAACUCAUAGCAAACCCCAUCAGAGAGGAGACAUAACUGAGCAAAAACAGAAACUUAGGAAUCAUAGGAAUCACAGAAAGUAAUAGAACCAGGGGGGAAAAGGUGAUGCCAUUACAUCUCCAGUAGGUUGUUUCAUUUGAAGAACUGGAUAAUAACACUCUUUAUUUAACCUCCAGAGGAUGCAUUCAUUUGGAAAAAAUGGCAAAAGCCCCAAUCAUCAAAUAUAUAGCGAUAUAGACAAGUCUGAAGUAUUGCAAGCAACCAACAACAUAUCUAGAUAAUAGAGAGAACAACAGGUUCUAAAAAGCAUAUCACUCCAACAAAAAAGUCACGGACAGAAAAUGAAACACACAUCAACUAAUCAGAAAUAAGUGAUAUCCUCUAACAUGCUGUCAACUGGUAUGACGAACUAUUCUGACUCACGCAACAUAAGUAGAUGCACCUAUGCACAUCAUGAUACCUAAAUUAGUUUUGCAAAGAAACAAUGGUGCCCUUUUAUUAAGAAAAUACCUAUAGAAGUGAACAAAUUGAUAACUCGAUUAAAUACAGAAGCAACAGCAAGUUAGACCUGAAUGGACACUGAAACACUAUAUCUAGGUAAAAGCUACAGGAGGCCAAUCGAGCUACCUGAAGUAAUUAAAAAAUGUAUCUUCUCUUCCCUAUGGACACUCCUUCAGCAUUUAUUAUCCU